GGGACUCUUUUGGGGUGUUGAAUAGGUCAGUUUAGCAAAGGGAGUGUGGUAUUGUGCUGCUGUGGCAUUUAGCAAUCAUGUGGCAUUUAUUGUUUGUGUGCCACAGGGGGAUCUGAGUCCAGAACUGAGGGAAUGGGCUGUGGCAAGUGCUUGGUUUACAUGGUUCUUGGUAAUGGUGGUGCCAGUCGGAGCAGAGGAACUGCUUGCAUCCAUGAGCAGUGGAGGAUCAGUCUUGCCUGUUCAUGAGAUGAAGUGGAAAUUGACACAAGUUUGGAUAUGAGAUAGAUGUGAGGCCAGAUCUGGUGGAAAAAGAAUGGGGGUCCAAUUCUUCAAAGAACCAGUGAAGUUGAAGUAUGCCUGUGGGGGACAUGAAGAACUUGUUUCCUGAAAUGGAAGUUAGCAUGAUGUCAAGUUUGCAAGUUAAGUAUGGUUAUUGAUCAUGGUUUUUUGUUGGUCCGUUUGAUGUUGGA